GAAGAACAUUAGAUUUUCUUAAUGUUCCGUUUCGUUUCCAGCAAUUCUCCGACAGGAAGUCGGAGAAAGGCAUAUGGCGGCAUGGAUGCCGCAUAUAUGCCGUUUGCGUCCCUAUCCGUUUAUCCGGGCCGGAACAUUUAGAAAAUCUUAUGUUCGAA
rnacentral:ncRNA from 1 species